UACAGAGGGUGCAAGCGUUGUCCGGAAUUAUUGGGCGUAAAGAGCUCGUAGGCGGUUUGUCGCGUCUGCUGUGAAAACUCAGGGCUUAACCCUGAGCCUGCAGUGGGUACGGGCAGACUAGAGUGUGGUAGGGGAGAUCGGAAUUCCUGGUGUAGCGGUGGAAUGCGUAGAGAUCGGGAGGAACACCAGUGGCGAAGGCGGCCGGCUGGGCCAUACCUGACGCUGAGGCGCGAAAGCGUGGGGGAGCGAACCGG
rnacentral:rRNA from 1 species